rnacentral:rRNA from 1 species
CUGGCGGCGUGCCUAACACAUGCAAGUCGAGCGAGGAGAUCCUUCGGGAUGAUCCUAGCGGCGGACGGGUGAGUAACACGUGGGCAACCUGCCUCAUAGAGAGGAAUAGCCUUCCGAAAGGGAGAUUAAUACCUCAUAACAUUGCAGUUUCGCAUGGAACAGCAAUUAAAGGAGCAAUCCGCUAUGAGAUGGGCCCGCGGCGCAUUAGCUAGUUGGUGAGGUAACGGCUCACCAAGGCGACGAUGCGUAGCCGACCUGAGAGGGUGAUCGGCCACAUUGGGACUGAGACACGGCCCAGACUCCUACGGGAGGCAGCAGUGGGGAAUAUUGCACAAUGGGGGAAACCCUGAUGCAGCCAACGCCGCGUGAGUGAUGACGGCCUUCGGGUUGUAAAGCUCUGUCUUCAGGGACGAUAAUGACGGUACCUGAGGAGGAAGCCACGGCUAACUACGUGCCAGCAGCUGC